GGUGAGCGUUUAAAUUCCGCGACGAGGAAAAAAAAAAACUCGACGUCGCGAUUUCAAACGGAGAAUGCCAGCAUUAAAUCUUGCCGAGAAGAAGAAAGACAUCAAAUUAUUCAUCCUACGGCCAUAUCGCCCAACUCAAUUGUUGCCAAUGCCCAAGUCUUCAUCCACGUGAAGAAAUCAUUCAAGUUGGUCUUCGAUGUCCGACCCCCAAACACAUAAACACGGACCGGAAACGGAAACGAGCCUUAGCUUGUCUUGACGUCUUGUUUGCUAAUGUUGUUUUGCCCGAUUCGAAUACGUGAGCUGAGUUAGUUGAACGACGUUAGCGCCAAGUAAGGCGUUUUUUGUAUUGUUUACAUAUUCAGUAGACGACCACAAAGAAGGAAUGUUGUCUCAACGUCGGUUGCUGUCAGUCUACGCGAAAAAGUGGCGACUUGUGCCAAGGCUGGAGGAGGGAUGAACACUGCUGCCGCAGACUCAAGUGUUCAGCACAUGGGUGGAUCUGCACUACAAUGAUGGAAACCUGCUUUUGGAAAG